GUGUCAGCAGCCGCGGUAAUACGAAGGGGGCUAGCGUUGUUCGGAAUCACUGGGCGUAAAGCGUGCGUAGGUGGUGGUUUAAGUCUGAUGUGAAAGCCCUGGGCUCAACCUGGGAACUGCAUUGGAUACUGGCUUACUGGAGUGCGGUAGAGGGGUGCGGAAUUCCCGGUGUAGCAGUGAAAUGCGUAGAUAUCGGGAGGAACAUCCGUGGCGAAGGCGGCACCCUGGACCAGCACUGACACUGAGGCACGAAAGCGUGGGGAGCAAACAGGAUUAGAUACCCCUGUAGUCC
rnacentral:rRNA from 1 species